rnacentral:rRNA from 1 species
GUAGGUGGCAAGCGUUGUCCGGAAUUAUUGGGCGUAAAGCGCGCGCAGGCGGUUCUUUAAGUCUGAUGUGAAAGCCCACGGCUCAACCGUGGAGGGUCAUUGGAAACUGGAGAACUUGAGUACAGAAGAGGAAAGCGGAAUCCCACGUGUAGCGGUGAAAUGCGUAGAGAUGUGGAGGAACACCAGUGGCGAAGGCGGCUUUCUGGUCUGUAACUGACGCUGAGGCGCGAAAGCGUGGGGAGCAAACAGGAUUAGAUACCCUGGUAGUCCACGCCGUAAACGAUGAGUGCUAAGUGUUAGGGGGUUUCCGCCCCCCUUAGUGCUGCAGCUAACGCAUUAAGCACUCCGCCUGGGAGUACGGCCGCAAGGCUG